rnacentral:rRNA from 1 species
GAUGAACGCUGGCGGCGUGCCUAAUACAUGCAAGUCGAGCGAACGGACGAGAAGCUUGCUUCUCUGAUGUUAGCGGCGGACGGGUGAGUAACACGUGGAUAACCUACCUAUAAGACUGGGAUAACUUCGGGAAACCUGAUCUAAUACCGGAUGAUAUUUUGAACCGCAUGGUUCAAAAGUGAAAGCCGUUCUUGCUGUCACUUAUAGAUGUAUCCUCGCUGCAUUAGCUAGUUGGUAAGGUAACGGCUUACCAAGGCAACGAUGCAUAGCCGACCUGAGAGGGUGAUCGGCCACACUGGAACUGAGACACGGUCCAGACUCCUACGGGAGGCAGCAGUAGGGAAUCUUCCGCAAUGGGCGAAAGCCUGACGGAGCAACGCCGCGUGAGUGAUGAAGGUAUUCGGAUCGUAAAACUCUGUUAUUAGGGAAGAACAUAUGUGUAAGUAACUGUGCACAUCUUGACGGUACCUAAUCUGAAAGCCACGGCUAACUACGUG